UACGGAGGGGGCUAGCGUUGUUCGGAAUUACUGGGCGUAAAGGGUGCGCAGGCGGCUCCGCAUGUCGGGCGUGAAAUCCCCGGGCUUAACCUGGGAAUUGCGUCCGAAACUAUGGAGCUGGAGUGUGGCAGAGGGAGGUGGAAUUCCACGUGUAGCGGUGAAAUGCGUAGAGAUGUGGAGGAACACCGAUGGCGAAGGCAGCCUCCUGGGCCAACACUGACGCUCAUGCACGAAAGCGUGGGGAGCAAACAGG
rnacentral:rRNA from 1 species